rnacentral:rRNA from 1 species
CAGUAGCCACGGUAAUACAGAGGGUGCAAGCGUUAAUCGGAAUUACUGGGCGUAAAGCGCGCGUAGGUGGUUUGUUAAGUUGGAUGUGAAAGCCCCGGGCUCAACCUGGGAACUGCAUCCAAAACUGGCAAGCUAGAGUACGGUAGAGGGUGGUGGAAUUUCCUGUGUAGCGGUGAAAUGCGUAGAUAUAGGAAGGAACACCAGUGGCGAAGGCGACCACCUGGACUGAUACUGACACUGAGGUGCGAAAGCGUGGGGAGCAAACAGGAUUAGAUACCCCAGUAGUCCCUGUCUCUUAUAU